GGAGGCCGACAGUUGGCGGUCGCG
rnacentral:siRNA from 1 species